rnacentral:rRNA from 1 species
GAUCAUGACUCAGGAUGAACGCUAGCUACAGGCUUAACACAUGCAAGUCGAGGGGCAGCAUGGUCUUAGCUUGCUAAGGCCGAUGGCGACCGGCGCACGGGUGAGUAACGCGUAUCCAACCUGCCUUACACUCUUGGACAGCCUUCUGAAAGGGAGAUUAAUACAAGGUGUUAUCAUGAGUAAGCAUUUUCGCAUGAUUAAAGGUUUACCGGUGUAAGAUGGGGAUGCGUUCCAUUAG